rnacentral:rRNA from 1 species
CAGUCGCCACGGUAAUACGAGGGGGGCAAGCGUUGUUCGGAAUUAUUGGGCGUAAAGGGUGCGUAGGCGGUUCAGCAAGUCUCGUGUGAAAUCUUCGGGCUCAACCCGAAGUCUGCACGGGAAACUACUGGGCUUGAGUAAUGGAGAGGUGAGUGGAAUUUCCGGUGUAGCGGUGAAAUGCGUAGAUAUCGGAAGGAACACCUGUGGCGAAAGCGGCUCACUGGACAUUUACUGACGCUGAUGCACGAAAGCUAGGGGAGCAAACAGGAUUAGAGACCCCAGUAGUCCCUGUCUCUUAUAU